CUAGGAAUAGCACCAUUUUAAAAAUGCAUUGAAGUAGGAGCUAUCAUUUCUCUUAUUUUCUAGGUGGCAAAAUGGAGGUUCAAAGAGGUUACAUAAUUGACCUCUGUUCCCACUAGUAAUAAGGAGAAAAUCUGGAUGACAACUAGGAAUUACAGCAUAGUCCAGAAAAGGGAAUGACGUAUCUCCAUGUGUAAGCAUGACUCAUACUUCUGCACUGCGGUGGUGACAUUGUGGUAUCCGUUCACUCACAACCAGACCGAAGUGCUGGCACCCACAGGUUGUGGUUUUUGCAUUCAAGAUAUCUGUGUUACCUUCUUCCAUGGGCUGUCACAGAGCUUUCAUCACUUCGUGUUGUACGGACUGUAUUUUCUUUUAACGGUGUUCGGGGGGGUGGGGGUGGUCAUUUUACCUUUCCUUAAACCAAUAGAAGUACCAUCACAAAUGCAGAAGUGACCCUGAAAUUUGGGUCACUCAGUUAUAAAGUGAUCGUCUAGAGCAUGUAGAAUGUACUUGGAUUAAUUGCAAUGAUGUGCUAUUUAAAUCAAGAUACAUAAAUUAAAAUUUCAUAUGAAUCA